rnacentral:tRNA from 1 species
GGUGGGAUAGCUCAGUGGUAGAGCACUUGCCUAGUAUGUGUGAUGUCCUGGGAUCAAAUCUCAGCACCA